rnacentral:rRNA from 1 species
UACAGGGGGGGCAAGCGUUGUUCGGAAUUACUGGGCGUAAAGGGUUCGUAGGUGGCUUACUAAGUCAAACGUGAAAUCCCUCAGCUUAACUGGGGAACUGCGUCUGAUACUGGAAAGCUUGAGUGCAGGAGAGGAACGCGGAAUUCCAGGUGUAGCGGUGAAAUGCGUAGAUAUCUGGAGGAACACCGGUGGCGAAGGCGGCAUCCUGGACCGGUAUUGACGCUGAUGCGCGAAAGCCAGGGGAGCAAACGGG